UACGGAGGGGGCUAGCGUUGUUCGGAAUUACUGGGCGUAAAGCGCACGUAGGCGGCUUUGUAAGUUAGAGGUGAAAGCCCGGGGCUCAACUCCGGAAUUGCCUUUAAGACUGCAUCGCUAGAAUUGUGGAGAGGUAAGUGGAAUUCCGAGUGUAGAGGUGAAAUUCGUAGAUAUUCGGAAGAACACCAGUGGCGAAGGCGACUUACUGGACACAUAUUGACGCUGAGGCGCGAAGGCUAGGGGAGCGAACGGG
rnacentral:rRNA from 1 species